rnacentral:rRNA from 1 species
GCCGUCCCGCCGCCCCCGCCCGCCUACGGGAGGCAGCAGUGGGGAAUCUUCCGCAAUGGACGAAAGUCUGACGGAGCAACGCCGCGUGUAUGAUGAAGGUCUUCGGAUUGUAAAGUACUGUCUUUGGGGAAGAACGGUCGAUUUGAAAAUAUUGAGUCGACAUGACGGUACCCAAGGAGGAAGCCCCGGCUAACUACGUGCCAGCAGCCGCGGUAAUACGUAGGGGGCAAGCGUUGUCCGGAAUUAUUGGGCGUAAAGGGCGCGUAGGCGGAUUAUUAAGUCUGGUGUGAAAGAUCAGGGCUCAACCCCUGAGAGUGCAUCGGAAACUGGUGAUCUUGAGGACCAGGAGAGGAAAGUGGAAUUCCACGUGUAGCGGUGAAAUGCGUAGAUAUGUGGAGGAACACCGGUGGCGAAGGCGACUUUCUGGACUGUAACUGACGCUGAGGCGCGAAAGCGUGGGGAGCCAAACCAGGAUUAGNUACCCCUGGUNGUCNCACGCACGUAAACGAAUGAGUGCNUAUGGUGUAUGAUGGGUAUUCGACCCNNAUUCUUGUGCCCGCCGAGUUUANACCACCAGUNG